AAGUGGGUGAAGGUCGCGUGAAUGUUUUAAAAGAAAAAAAAAAAGGGAAAGCCACCCUUUGCACCCCACCACCUCCGGCCAGCCAUUUCCAGCGGCAGUCCGGCCACUUUUCCGGCCAGUAAGGGGACCCAAGCUUGAGACCUACACCCACACUUCAUUUGAGAAGGAUUUAAGGUACAAGUGUGGUUCUUGAAUCAAUUCAAGAGAAAGCUUGAAAUUCUUGAGUUAGUGGAACUAACAAAGUUCAAGGUUAGUGAAUUGGCGUGAAGUGUAUGCUGCUUUCUUGGUGAGGAUUGCGUGUUUACUUCGAGGUUAGACAGGAUCUCGUGCACAGGCAGCGGAUCAGCAGGAGGACGCGUGACAAAGGUGGCCUGGACUUUUGUGGUUGUGUGACACGUGUGUGUGGAUUUUUACAUAUGUAUGGUGCGAUGUUGUUACGUUUUAGUAGUUUAAGUACAUGGAUGUAGUAUGGUUAUGGUUGGAUUGAUGUAUGGUGUUGUUUUUGUUGGCUGGGAGUGGUGGCCGUGACUAGUGUGUGUUUGAUGAUGACGAUGGGGUAUGUGUUUGAUGGUGGACCUACGGGUCGGUUGAUGUUGAUGAUAUUAGAAGUGUUUUUUUUUCUUGUAUGUGAUCUGAUUACAGGUGGGUUUCCUCAAUUUAUGGGGAGAUGCUGUCGAAAUUUUUGGUAAAGUUUAUAUUGGGUUGGGACGUAACACGUGUGAUGUAUGUGAUUGUGUUUGGUGUUAGAGUUUUUGUGUAUUUGUGGUUUUCUUCACGCUUCGCUGAUCGGGGCGUGAUCAUUUGGUAUCGGAGCCAGGUUGGCUCUUUUUGGGACCUAGGGAGUGGGUCAGUAUGCAUGUGUGAGUGUGUUUGUUGUGUUGUGAUUAUAUAUGGUUCUCCAGGCCACGUCACGACCUUUGCUGAUCCGGUAUGUUUUCUUUAAUCCUGUA